AAAAUAUAAACCUUUACAUCAUAGAAGAUUCUUGAGAGGAGUCGUGUCUAAUCAAGCGUGCCGCACGUACUUAAAUGUGGGACUGGAUUCAAAAUGUUGGAUUGAAUCUAGUGGGUGGGGUAGAAAUCAAAUUCAUAGACAGAGACUCAGAGAGACGAAGGGAGGAGCCUGAAGAUAUCUUUGGUUGUGGUGGCGGUGGCGGUUGCGGUGGUGGUGGUGGUGGGGAAUCUUCAUUAGAUAGGCCAGGGUGAAAGACAUUAAAUAACUUGAUUUACAGAGACAAGACAGGGAAUAUGGCUAAAGGUCUGCUAUGGGCAACAGCCGAGGAUUUGGCAAGGAAUAGAGGAAGAGUCCUUUCUCUAUAUCGUCAGAUAUUAAGAAGCCUCAAUUCCCCCAAACUUCCCAUGAACUUAGCAGCAAGGUUGGCCAAGAAAGCAGAGGCUCGUGCUAUCUUCAUGCUGGGCGCAGAAGAGGAAUCCCUUCACAAUAUUGAGGACCUAAUUGAUACCGGAGAAUAUGCUCUUUCCCUCUUAAGAAAAGGCGAAAUCCCUAAAUACAUCCAAUGAGUGCACUGCUGAUUCCUGAGCAUCCCUCUCAUGCUAUACAUAAGUUUGCUGAUUUGGUAGUUUUUAUUUGUUUAUGUCAACAGCUGUACAAGGAAACACGGGAGAGGAAAUGUAGCUUUUAGGGGAAUUUAUUUGUUUGUUUAUGUCAUACAUUCUAGGAACUGAAUAAGAAUAAUAAAAAAAAAUUGGAGUUGAAUGUUUCGCUUUCCAUUUCAUUAUUGGCUAAGAUUCAACACUAUCAGUUGGGGAAAACGGACAGUACAAAAUUGGAGUUCAAAGUUUGGCUUUCCAUUUCAUUAUUGGCUAAGAUUUAACACUUGGAAUUCUGUUAAAUGCAGGAGUACAGAGUAAGGAAUCUUGGAUAAAUUUAUUUAACACAAGCCGACUACCGCGCUCGAAUCGAAUGCCAUCUUGGAAGCUGCUAUUGUGCUUUGACGACGGGAAAAUUCUUGUGGAUUAUGAAUUCGAGGACUUGCUUAUAUUGGAUCCAACAACUUAAGCGGCUAGAUCAGUGGAGGUCCGUGAUAUCCCUAUGGGCGAUAAUCGAGGGAGUUAUGUGGAGACCAUAGCCUCUCUUGGCUCUAAUACUUAUCUGGAAAGGCAGAUUACAGAUGGGACCGUGAAGAAUCCGAAACGACGACGAUUGAGGGGUGGAAGACAUCAGACAACUUGAUUUACAAAGAGAAGACGACUAUUUCAUUGUUGCUAAGGAAUAUGGUCAAGGGUCUGAUAUGAGCAACAGCCGAGGACUUGGCAAGGAAUAGAGGACAAGUCCUUUCUCUAUACAUUAGUAUCUCUUUACAUUAGUCCAACAUGAACUUAUUGGUAAACUAAUAUAACCAAGGGUUCUAGAUAUUAUGAAUCUUAAUGGUGGGCUACUUAUAUAAGAAAAAGGAGAAAUGUGCUAGAAAUAAGUUCCCCCGAAAAAAAUAUCUUCCCCCGGAUAAGAUAGUUGAGGCCGCAGAUUUUUCUAAAUUAUACUCCCUCCGUUCCAUUUUACUUGAUGUU